rnacentral:rRNA from 1 species
AUGAACGCUGGCGGCGUGCCUAAUACAUGCCCGUCGAGCGAACGGACGAGAAGCUUGCUUUUCUGAUGUUAGCGGCAGACGGGUGAGUAACACGUGGAUAACCUACCUAUAAGACUGGGAUAACUUCGGGAAACCGGAGCUAAUACCGGAUAAUAUUUUGAACCGCAUGGUUCAAAAGUGAAAGACGGUCUUGCUGUCACUUAUAGAUGGAUCCGCGCUGCAUUAGCUAGUUGGUAAGGUAACGGCUUACCAAGGCAACGAUGCAUAGCCGACCUGAGAGGGUGAUCGGCCACACUGGAACUGAGACACGGUCCAGACUCCUACGGGAGGCAGCAGUAGGGAAUCUUCCGCAAUGGGCGAAAGCCUGACGGAGCAACGCCGCGUGAGUGAUGAAGGUCUUCGGAUCGUAAAACUCUGUUAUUAGGGAAGAACAUAUGUGUAAGUAACUGUGCACAUCUUGACGGUACCUAAUCAGAAAGCCACGGCUAACUACGUG